rnacentral:rRNA from 1 species
UGCCAGCAGCCGCGGUAAUACGUAGGGUGCAAGCGUUGUUCGGAAUUAUUGGGCGUAAAGAGCGUGUAGGCGGUUUGCUAAGUCUGAUGUGAAAGCCCGGGGCUUAACCUCGGACGUGCAUUGGAUACUGGCAAGCUAGAGGACGAGAGGGGGAAGUGGAAUUCCUGGUGUAGGGGUGAAAUCCGUAGAUAUCAGGAGGAACAUCCGUGGCGAAGGCGACUUCCUGGCUCGUUUCUGACGCUGAGACGCGAAAGCGUGGGUAGCAAACAGGAUUAGAUA